rnacentral:tRNA from 1 species
GCGCCCAUGGUGGAAUUGGCAGACACGCUAGAUUUAGGUUCUAGUGGGAGACCGUGGGGGUUCAAGUCCCUCUGGGCGCACCA